GAUGAACGCUGGCUACAGGCUUAACACAUGCAAGUCGAGGGGAAACGCCGGGGAAGCUUGCUUCUCCGGGCGUCGACCGGCGCACGGGUGAGUAACGCGUAUCCAACCUGCCUCUGACUGAGGGAUAACCCGUCGAAAGUCGGCCUAAUACCUCAUGGUAUCGUCUGCGGGCAUCCAACGACGAUUAAAGAUUUCAUCGGUCAGGGAUGGGGAUGCGUCUGAUUAGCUUGUUGGCGGGGUAACGGCCCACCAAGGCUACGAUCAGUAGGGGUUCUGAGAGGAAGGGCCCCCACAUUGGAACUGAGACACGGUCCAAACUCCUACGGGAGGCAGCAGUGAGGAAUAUUGGUCAAUGGGCGAGAGCCUGAACCAGCCAAGUAGCGUGCAGGAAGACGGCCCUAUGGGUUGUAAACUGCUUUUAUGCGGGGAUAAAGUGAGGGACGUGGCCCUCAUUGCAGGUACCGCAUGAAUAAGGACCGGCUAAUUCCGUG
rnacentral:rRNA from 1 species